rnacentral:rRNA from 1 species
UAGGGAAUCUUCCACAAUGGACGAAAGUCUGAUGGAGCAACGCCGCGUGAGUGAAGAAGGGUUUCGGCUCGUAAACUCUGUUGUUAAAGAAGAACAUAUCUGAGAGUAACUGUUCAGGUAUUGACGGUUAUUUAACCAGAAAGCCACGGCUAACUACGUGCCAGCAG